rnacentral:rRNA from 1 species
UACGUAGGUGGCAAGCGUUUGUCCGGAAUUAUUGGGCGUAAAGCGCGCGCAGGUGGUUUCUUAAGUCUGAUGUGAAAGCCCACGGCUCAACCGUGGAGGGUCAUUGGAAACUGGGGAACUUGAGUGCAGGAGAGAAGAGUGGAAUUCCACGUGUAGCGGUGAAAUGCGUAGAGAUGUGGAGGAACACCAGUGGCGAAGGCGACUCUUUGGCCUGUAACUGACACUGUAGGCGCGAAAGCGGUGGGGAGCAACAGGG